GUACGGGAGGCAGCAGUGAGGAAUAUUGGACAAUGGGCGAAAGCCUGAUCCAGCAAUGCCGCGUGAGUGAUGAAGGCCUUAGGGUUGUAAAGCUCUUUCAGCAGGGAAGAUAAUGACGGUACCUGCAGAAGAAGCUCCGGCUAACUCCGUGCCAGCAGCCGCGGUAAUACGGAGGGAGCUAGCGUUGUUCGGAAUUACUGGGCGUAAAGAGCGCGUAGGCGGUCUGUAAAGUUAGGAGUGAAAGCCCAAGGCUUAACCUUGGAACUGCUCUUAAAACUCACAGACUAGAGAUUGGUAGAGGAUGGUGGAAUUCCUAGUGUAGAGGUGAAAUUCGUAGAUAUUAGGAGGAACACCGGUGGCGAAGGCGGCCAUCUGGGCCAACACUGACGCUGAGGCGCGAAAGCGUGGGGAGCAAACAGGAUUAGAUACCCCGGUAGC
rnacentral:rRNA from 1 species